AAGAAUAUUGCAACUCACUGCUAGAGGUGUUAAUACAACGCUAACGAACCAUAGCCUUUCCAAAGCAUAGCUGGCAACAUUACCACCCAUCUGUGCCGAGGGGGAUGUGCAAGCAGAAGUCAGGGCUGAACACCCUCCACCUGUUUGCAGAAAGUAAGUGAGCACGCACUGAAGUUACUCAGCGUAUUCGCUCUGUCUUCGGCAGGCUGGGUGAUGUUGUUACUACUACUUUUCUGCUGUCUCAUAUCUCCUACCGCCAUGUGCCAGCUGAUAGGGGAACUGUGACAUACCACACCCCCGCGGCCAGGAAGGGGGUCACAUGGACUGGUCUCAUCCAGAGCACUUUAAAGAAACUGAUAAGCUCUAUCUCAUUUAACUUGGCCUUUGGAAGAUGCUUGUGGAAAUUUCUGCAAAGGAGGUGACAUCAGUUGUUGUCACAGCUGCUGUGGUCCUUUUGUAUCCUGGCACUCAGAGAUCCUGCCUUCCUUUUGCCCAUGGACAGCACAGCUUGUGCCUUGGAAGUGCUGUUGUGAGCUCUCCCAACUGGUGUCUCCCAGAUUUCAACCCUGGGUCCUGUGUUAUGUGGAAGCCUGCAGCAGUCGGGUCUGGAUGAAGAAAAUACCUCAGAAAACCCAGGAGGAAUACUUGCUUUGAAAGUUACUCUCAUGAGAUUAUUUUAUCUUUCUAAUAAAAAAAAUUGAUUUAAAAAUAAAA